rnacentral:tRNA from 1 species
AUAUAUAUAUAUAUAUAUAUAUUUGGCAGAAAAUUGCAUUAGAUUUAGAAUCUAAUUACACUACUU